AUUGAACGCUGGCGGCAUGCUUUACACAUGCAAGUCGGACGAGUGGCGAACUGGUGAAUAACGCAUCGGAACGUACCGAACAAUGGGGGCUGACUGUCCGAACGGACAGCUACUACCGCAAAUUAUUCGAGCGGCUGAUGUCUGAUUAGCUGUUUGGCGUGGUAAAGGCACACCAAGGCGAAGCUCAACAGCGGGUCUGAGAGGAUGAUCCGCCACACUGGUACUGAGACACGGCCCAGACUCCUACGGGAGGCAGCAGUGGGGAAUUUUGGACAAUGGGCGAAAGCCUGAUCCAGCAACGCCGCGUGUCUGAAGAAGGUCUUCGGGUUGUAAAGGACUGUUGUCAGGGAAGCGGUAUCUGAAGAAUAAGCAACGGCUAACUACGUGCCAGCAGCCGCGGUAAUUC
rnacentral:rRNA from 1 species